CCUUCGGCCUUCCAUCCCAAAAAUGAUAAACGCAGUGAGCAGCGCAUUCACAGUAUUAAUAAUAAAUUUCAUAAUCCAGUCUGGUAGUUUUAAGAAGCGAGUUCUAGCAUCUGCCCUCCUCGCCUCGGCAGGGCUAAGGAGCGCCAGCGAGCCCAAGGUCUCCCUGGCGAGCGUGGCAGUACUGGAGAGCUCCCCGAAGGGCAACUUGGUGUCCUCCGGGGCGUUCGCGGAGGUGCCGGAGAUAUGCCCGGGUAGGUGGGGCUCGUUAGCCGUGGUAGGCAGUUCACCUAGGAGAGCAAACUCCGAACAACAAACCCGGGCAGGUGGAGAUCGUUAGCCGUGGUAGGCAGUUCACCUAGGAGAGGGACAACUUCGAACAACAAACCCGGGCAGGUGGAGAUCGUCAGCCGUGGUAGGCAGUUCACCUAGGAGAGGGACAACUUCGAACAACAAACCCGGGCAGGUGGAGAUCGUCAGCCGUGGUAGGCAGUUCACCUAGGAGAGGGACAACUCCGAACAACAAACCCGGGAAGGUGGAGAUCGUCAGCCGUGGUAGGCAGUUCACCUAGGAGAGGGACAACUCCGAACAACAAACCCGGGAAGGUGGAGAUCGUCAGCCGUGGUAGGCAGUUCACCUAGGAGAGGGACAACUCCGAACAACAAACCCGGGAAGGUGGAGAUCGUCAGCCGUGGUAGGCAGUUCACCUAGGAGAGGGACAACUCCGAACAACAAACCCGGGCAGGUGGAGAUCGUCAGCCGUGGUAGGCAGUUCACCUAGGAGAGGGACAACUCCGAACAACAAACCCGGGCAGGUGGAGAUCGUCAGCCGUGGUAGGCAGUUCACCUAGGAGAGGGACAACUCCGAACAACAAACCCGGGAAGGUGGAGAUCGUCAGCCGUGGUAGGCAGUUCACCUAGGAGAGGGACAACUCCGAACAACAAACCCGGGCAGGUGGAGAUCGUCAGCCGUGGUAGGCAGUUCACCUAGGAGAGGGACAACUUCGAACAACAAACACGGGCAGGUGAGGAUCGUUAGCCGUGGUAGGCAGUUCACCUAGGAGAGGGACAACUUCGAACAACAAACCCGGACAGGUGGAGAUCGUUAGCCGUGGUAGGCAGUUCACCUAGGAGAGGGACAACUCCGAACAACAAACCCGGGCAGGUGGAGAUCGUCAGCCGUGGUAGGCAGUUCACCUAGGAGAGGGACAACUCCGAACAACAAACCCGGGCAGGUGGAGAUCGUUAGCCGUGGUAGGCAGUUCACCUAGGAGAGGGACAACUCCGAACAACAAACACGGGCUGGUGGAGCUCGUUAGCGUAAGGCAGUUCACCUAGGAGAGCAAACUCUGAUUACAAACCCGGGCUGGUGGAGGUCGUAAGCGUAAGGCAGUUCACCUAGGAGAGCAAACUCCGAACAACAAACCCGGGCUGGUGGAGCUCGUUAGCGUAAGGCAGUUCACCUAGGAGAGCAAACUCCGAUUACAAACCCGGGCUGGUGGAGGUCGUUAGCGUAAGGCAGUUCACCUAGGAGAAGGACAAC